GUGAGGAAUAUUGGUCAAUGGACGAGAGUCUGAACCAGCCAAGUCGCGUGAAGGAAGACGGUUCUAUGAAUUGUAAACUUCUUUUGUGCAGGAAUAAAGUGGGUUACGUGUAACCUUUUGUAUGUACUGUACGAAUAAGGAUCGGCUAACUCUGUGCCAGCAGCCGCGGUAAUACGGAGGAUCCGAGCGUUAUCCGGAUUUAUUGGGUUUAAAGGGUGCGUAGGUGGAUUGAUAAGUCAGCGGUGAAAGUUUGCAGCUUAACUGUAAAAUUGCCGUUGAAACUGUCGGUCUUGAGUGCAAAUGAGGUAGGCGGAAUGUGUUGUGUAGCGGUGAAAUGCUUAGAUAUAACACAGAACUCCGAUUGCGAAGGCAGCUUACUGGGAUGCAACUGACACUGAUGCACGAAAGCGUGGGUAUCAAACAGGAUUAGAUACCCUGGUAGUCC
rnacentral:rRNA from 1 species